rnacentral:tRNA from 1 species
AGAGCAUCUGAUUUGUAAUCAGAGGGUCGGGGGUUCGAGUCCCUCAGCCGGCACCA